rnacentral:misc_RNA from 1 species
AACGCAUCUUGCACUCACUGGUAUUCCAGUGAGUACGCCUGUUUCAGUAUCAAAAACACCCCACACUCUAAAAUCUUUUUUUGAGAUUUUUUGAGUGGAACUGAGAGUUCACGGCUGGGUCUCCUCCCAGCUGUACUCUUUAAAUAAAUUAGGCCUGAAAAUUGUAUUGUCUUUUUGCCUGAACAUUUUUUUAAUAUAAAGGAAUGCUCUUGUCAACAAUCUUCUCUGGGGGCCUCCCAAAUAAAUCUUUUUGUCUUAAAAAACUUGAUCUGAAAUCAGGCGGGAUUACCCGCUGAACUUAA